rnacentral:rRNA from 1 species
ACUACUUGGAUAACCGUGGUAAUUCUAGAGCUAAUACAUGCUAAAAAUCCCGACUUCGGAAGGGAUGUAUUUAUUAGAUUAACMACCAAUGCCCUCCGGGCGCUCACUGGUGAUUCAUGAUAACUUCUCGAAUCGCACGGCCUUGCGCCGGCGAUGGUUCAUUCAAAUUUCUUCCCUAUCAACUUUCGAUGUUUGGGUAUUGGCCAAACAUGGUUGCAACGGGUAACGGAGGGUUAGGGCUCGACCCCGGAGAAGGAGCCUUAGAAACGGCUACUACAUCCAAGGAAGGCAGCAGGCGCGCAAAUUACCCAAUCCCGACACGGGGAGGUAGUKACAAUAAAUACUGAUACAGGGCUCUUUUGGGUCUUGUAAUUKGAAUKAGUACAAUUUAAAUCCCUUAACGAGGAACAAUUUGAGGGCAAGUCUUGUGCCAACAGCCGCGGUAAUUCCAGCUCCAAUAGCGUAUAUUAAAGUUGUUGUGGUUAAAAAGCUCGUAGUU